rnacentral:rRNA from 1 species
GUGCCAGCGCCGCGGUAAUACCGGCAGCCCGAGUGAUGGCCGAUGUUAUUGGGCCUAAAGCGUCCGUAGCUGGCCAUGCAAGUCCAUUGGGAAAUCCACGUGCCUAACGCGUGGACGUCCGGUGGAAACUGCAUGGCUUGGACCAGGAGGCUCGACGGGUACGUCCGGGGUAGGAGUGAAAUCCUGUAAUCCUGGACGGACCACCGAUGGCGAAAGCACGUCGAGAGACUGGAUCCGACGGUGAGGGACGAAAGCUAGGGUCUCGAACCGGAUUAGAUACCCGGGAGUCC